rnacentral:misc_RNA from 1 species
AUCAAAAAAUUUACAGAUAGUGCAAUAGUACUUUGCCAUUGAGAAACCCCCACAAGAAGGUGUUGUACAAACUGGUCCAACAGGCUGAAUUUUCAGGCAGCGCAUACACAUCAUUUCAGAUGUUGCCUUCCUGUCCAUAGAAUGGUCACUGACUUUGUCAUGGCAGAACCUGCAUGUGAAUAACUUGCCACAGCAGGCAGCUCGAAGUUUACAGUUUCGUUUAUAAUGC